rnacentral:rRNA from 1 species
CACAUGCAAGUCGAGGGGCAGCAUGAACUUAGCUUGCUAAGUUUGAUGGCGACCGGCGCACGGGUGAGUAACACGUAUCCAACCUGCCGAUGACUCGGGGAUAGCCUUUCGAAAGAAAGAUUAAUACCCGAUGGCAUAGUUCUUCCGCAUGGUAGAACUAUUAAAGAAUUUCGGUCAUCGAUGGGGAUGCGUUCCAUUAGGUUGUUGGCGGGGUAACGGCCCACCAAGCCUUCGAUGGAUAGGGGUUCUGAGAGGAAGGUCCCCCACAUUGGAACUGAGACACGGUCCAAACUCCUACGGGAGGCAGCAGUGAGGAAUAUUGGUCAAUGGACGAGAGUCUGAACCAGCCAAGUAGCGUGAAGGAUGACUGCCCUAUGGGUUGUAAACUUCUUUUAUACGGGAAUAAAGUGAGGCACGUGUGCCUUUUUGUAUGUACCGUAUGAAUAAGGAUCGGCUAACUCCGUGCCAGCAGCCGCGGUAAUACGGAGGAUCCGAGCGUUAUCCGGAUUUAUUGGGUUUAAAGGGAGCGUAGGCGGACGCUUAAGUCAGUUGUGAAAGUUUGCGGCUCAACCGUAAAAUUGCAGUUGAUACUGGGUGUCUUGAGUACAGUAGAGGCAGGCGGAAUUCGUGGUGUAGCGGUGAAAUGCUUAGAUAUCACGAAGAACUCCGAUUGCGAAGGCAGCUUGCUGGACUGUAACUGACGCUGAUGCUCGAAAGUGUGGGUAUCAAACAGGAUUAGAUACCCUGGUAGUCCACACAGUAAACGAUGAAUACUCGCUGUUUGCGAUAUACAGUAAGCGGCCAAGCGAAAGCGUUAAGUAUUCCACCUGGGGAGUACGCCGGCAACGGUGAAACUCAGAGGAAUUGACGGGGGCCCGCACAAGCGGAGGAACAUGUGGUUUAA